rnacentral:lncRNA from 10 species
UGCAGCUCCCAGAAGGAGACAAAGAGGACCUUUCGAAGGUCUGCAGGUGGCAGGAGGGGCAGAGGAGGCUGGACCCAGGGCCGGCUUUUUAAGAGGAUGGGUCUGUCGCUCUUGGACAGUCUCUCCGCCUAGGUCUGCCUGACGCCUUCUCUGCAUUGGACUGAGGUAAUGCCUUUUUGGAAAUUCCGUGGCAAUGCCACAGAAGUGAUGUGCAUUUUCGGUGGGCCAGAUCAGUGGGUGUGGGCUGUUAGUGUGCCUUGUGCCUGGUCAUGCCAACUUUGAUCUCUUGGUUAGGGUGGUGCCUGCCAGGGUUCUCCCCCAUCAACUCACUGUUUUUCCUUUGUAACCAUUAAAUAUUCAAAGAGAUGCUUUAAGGCUACACAGAGACACUGUUUGUGCUUAGAUCUCUGUCUGCUAAUUUUACUAUCCUCUGGUGAUGUUGCCUCAGCCGUGCUCCCUGCAGUCCUCUGGUGCUCAUCGUCUUCGUCUCUCAUUCGUUCCACAUUUAUUAAUUGCGAUUCAUCUGUAAGAAAGCAGUUAACUCACUUUUAAACGUCAAUAAUUAAGCCAUACACCAGUUGAUAGCCUGUGGGGCAGGAGGAAGAGCAAGGCCUUCAGUCAGUCCAAAGGGUGGCUCGAGUAAUUUUUUAACUGAGCACUUUUCUCUGCUUGCAGGCUGACC